GCUCGAUUGAGGGCAUCGCGUGUGCGCUGUCCCCGGAGCGGAACGGCAGAGUCAAAACUGGGUUGGGAAGGUCCAACGUGUGACCCAACACCACCUUGUCCACCAGACCAAGGCACUGACUGCCACGGCCAGUCGUGCCUUAAACACCUCCAGGGACGGUGACUUCACCACCACCCCGGGCAGCCCAUUCCAAUGUCUGAUCACCCCUUCUGUGAAGAAAUUCUUCCUAAUGUCCAGGCGCAGCUUUAGCCUGUGUCCUCUCAUGCUGUCACGAGUUCCCCGGGAGCAGAGCCCGACCUCCACCUGGCUACAGCCUCCUUUCAGGUUCAAUUUCUCAUGGAAAGCUCAGGGCUGAGAGGCAGAAAGUGCUUUGUGGGAGAUGGAGGCUCUUGUAACUCCUUUUUGGAGACUGGAGAGUCCACGAGCUGCUUGUCCCAGAAUGAAAUAGGCUGGUGUAUGGAUUAUUUUUUGAAAAAAAACUUGUCUCCCCAAAGUGCCUCUGCAUAGGUGAGGUGAAUGAAGUCGUAGAGUUGCGUGGCAUUGGCAGCAUUCCCCAAAAUCCUGGAGAGCUCGUCCUUGGACAGCGUCACCAGCUCUGCGAUGCUCC